UGAGGAAUAUUGGUCAAUGGGCGAGAGCCUGAACCAGCCAAGUAGCGUGCAGGAUGACGGCCCUAUGGGUUGUAAACUGCUUUUAUGCGGGGAUAACGUGCGCCACGUGUGGUGUAUUGCAGGUACCGCAUGAAUAAGGACCGGCUAAUUCCGUGCCAGCAGCCGCGGUAAUACGGAAGGUCCGGGCGUUAUCCGGAUUUAUUGGGUUUAAAGGGAGCGUAGGCCGGAGAUUAAGCGUGUUGUGAAAUGUAGACGCUCAACGUCUGCACUGCAGCGCGAACUGGUUUCCUUGAGUACGCACAAAGUGGCGGAAUUCGUGGUGUAGCGGUGAAAUGCUUAGAUAUCACGAAGAACU
rnacentral:rRNA from 1 species